rnacentral:lncRNA from 1 species
GGUCCUAAUAUAGUAAAGGAAACUUAAAAACAAUUCAUUUUAAGUCUUAGAUAUUAAUUGCCUAAAGGAAAAACAAUCUCAAAAUUUUCUCAUUUCUAGAAUUAGCAUUCUAAAGAAAAUUUAUAACGAAAUAUAAAAUGCAACAUCUCUUUUUUUUGGAUUUUGAGUUACAGCACAUUUUUUCAAAUAUAAAACAGAAAAUAACAAUAAUAAAAAGACUUGACAUUACUGUACAAAAGUAGAAAGUAAAAGACGACAUAAAAUGAGGAACAGACUCAAAACAUAAAAAUAAAACAAAUCUCCUUAAGCAACUCCUGACUGAGCGAUCCUGACCGGAUUGUCACAGGGUGUCUGCCAUGCUCAAACUUCGGUAAAUAAAUCCACACCUGUAUGAGAAAACUUUAACCAGCACUAUGUGAGAUAAUAACGCUCCCUAUUAAACACAUGCAAGACAUAAUUGAGACUAUUUUUUGCAAAAUUUGGCUAGGACCCCGCAAAGCCAAGAACUUAAGAUUUACUAGGAAGACCGGACCCUAUGUGGGUUGCCUACGUAUCCCGCCCCGAGAGACGAGAAUCAGGUUCGCGUAGUUCGGGCAAAUUGAAUACGGGCGAGAAUAAUAAAAAAAACCAUAAAAAUCACAUUUUUCUUGCUUUUUCUUGAAAAAUGACGAAACAUGCAAAAUCUUUUAGGAUUUUCUUUUUCUCUUUUUUUUUUAUUUUGAUUUUUGAAAAAUGAUGAAAAAGUGCAAAAUCUUUUUUUUUGAAUUUUUCAUGUUUUUUUUGUCUUUUUUCUUAAAAAUGUACCAAAAAAACAUAACUAGACCCUACUUGCAUUAUUUUCACACUUCCCCUUCUCUUUUUCUUUUUUUUUUAUUUCUUUCUUCUUUCAUUGUUUCUUUUUCCCUUUUUCUUUUCUUUUCACUUCUUCAUUUACCCUCAAUUAUCAUUGGUCCGCCAGAUGUCCCUUUGACCCUUGAAUAAAUACAACAUGUAGCACAUAAGAUGCAUCAAGAUGGUCUUUAUUUUGGGUACACCUGUCCUAGACGGACCCAAUUCCUGUGUUGAGUCUGCAAAGUCAAAUGUGAUGCAAGCAAACGUUCCUACUAGGGAUUCGGCAUGAGGCUGUGUUUUUCUAGGUUUGAAUCCUGGGGUUUUGUUCUAGACUUGGGGUACCCGAGCGGACAACUGGGGUCGAGGAGGGGGCGACGUACCGGGAGCACUGAAGUCUACUCGGCCUUGUCGCUUGCCCAGCCUCGUUCUAUUUGGUAUAAUUUCUACAGAAAAAGCGGGCCACGCGAACAUGUGCACCAUUUUCAGAAGACUCAGAGGGGGUGGCGUAAGAAGACAGUUAUAUACAAUUCAAAUAAUAUUAAAGCAGUAAAUAGAUAGUAUUUAGCACAAAAAGGUUCACAGAAUACAGUAAUAUCAACAAUAAAUAAAGCCAAGCAAAAUUAUAUUAAUAAGCUCGAAUUCUGAAUCCUGAACCAGAGAUUCUGGGUUCGGUCCCCAGUAGAGUCGCCAGAGCUGUCACACCUCCUUUUUCACUACGCCCCGUAAAGGGUAUAAAUAUAAGGGAAUUUUUCCAAUUAAAGGACAAUCGAAACGGGAUUAAUUAUUUACAAUUUAGAGUCGCCACUUGGGAUAAUUUAUAGUGUCCCAAGUCACCAGUUUAAAAUCCCGAAUCGAGGAAAAUUGACUCUAUUUACGGCCUGCGAACACAGAAAUCUGGGUAAGGAAUUCUGUUAACCCGGGAGAAGGUGUUAGGCAUUCCCGAGUUCCGUGGUUCUAGCACGGUCGCUUUGAUUAUACUUGGCUUAUUAAAAUCGUUUAAUUACUCGUUUUAGAACCUAUGUGCUUUUACCCCUUUACCGCUUUUAUUUAUUUCAGGAAAACUCAAGAUUAUUUAAAACACAUCGUAAGCCACGCUACAUGAAAUGCACCCGCGGUUCACAAUACAUUUUAUUUAACCUUGUUGGAAAUUAGAACUGGGCCACAUGAAAUGUACCCCUGGAUUUUAGAAAUCAAGUGUCACGACCACGUCACGGGAACUGUACCCGUAGUUAUGACGGUUUAUUUACGUUCCUAGAGCAAGCUAGGAAUGUUCAUUUUUAGGUCCAAAGUUAUGGAAAGGCGAACUAUAUUAACCUUUUUAUAUGAAAAAGGGACGGUCGUGUUUUCAUCAACAAUUGACAGCACUUACUUCAUCAACACUUAAUCCAAAGUCAAACAUUUUCAUCAAAAAUGAAGUGCUCACAUUUACACUUGCAAUGUUUUCUUUACCAUUUGUAAAAUCUAGCGAGAAGCACAGCAGACUACGAUAUGUUUAUUAAGGAAAUAAAACAACCCCAAGUAACUUAAACAAAUUCAUAGUAAUUCUCGGACUAUUUGUUUUCCAACUAAAGAAUGAAACAAACAGAAUUUUAUAACAAAUAUGAAUCCUAACAAAUGACUAAAUAAGAAAAAAAGAGACAAACCAUAUUAGGAAUUAUUUGAUUCUUAUAAGACUACAGAUCUGCCGAAGCUAACAAUAGGCCAACGGAAUCUCCGGUUGAACAACCGAUCAAAUUCAACAUGAUUAUAUAGCCAACUUUGUAUACUGAAAACAAAGAUCGAAUUAAUUUAAAUCAGCAUAUUUUCAAACAACAGACAAUCGGACAAUUCAUAUUCUCUUCAAGUUUCAAGAGAUUUUGCCGAAAAAUUCAACACACACAAUCGGACAAAAAAUGCAACAACAACAGCAAGUAAUUUCCAGAUUCAAUCGAAUUUCGAACAUAGAAACAGAGAUGUAAAGGAGAAGGGAUUGACCUGAGCAAUAUUUCUUUAAUUGAUUCGAUUUACAAGCAAUUACAAGUCAGAUUCGAAUUGCAACAGCAACAGAGAACUCCACUGUGAACCUCGAACGGCGACUCGAAAUCGGCAAAUUCAAACUGACUCAACUAAACUCCAUUUCUUCGAAACACAAAUUUCAGAGAAUACCAGAAUGCCUUUUUGUGUAUUUUUUGAACUUGAAAUUAAAUUGGACCAGAGGAACCGAUUUCCUUUAAUCUAUAAAUAAACAAAGAUGAAGACAGAAAUGGGAAAAUCUGAAAAGAAAAACCCAAACUCUAGUUCUUGUUCCUAUUUUUCUAUCCGAAAAUCCUUGAAAUUUUCUCCCAAUUUUUCGUUUUUCAGCUUCUGUUUCUGCUUGAUGGUGAGUGGUUGGCGGAAUUGGUGGUGGAGUUGAAGAGAUGAAAGGGUAUCGCUGGUUCCCUUGGUUGUUCGCUGGUGGGUCUGAGUAUAUAAAAAUGGUCGCUAUCUCUCUAGAUUGAAGAGAAGCUGGACGGAUGGGGAAGGGGUCGUUUGGGAUGGUGUUGAAGACGAUGAUCUUCAGGGGGGUGGGGUGUUUCUUGCGCAGCUGCUUUCAGCUGCUCCUUCAGCCUUCCCCGUUUUUUUUU